ACGGGAGGCAGCAGUGAGGAAUAUUGGUCAAUGGGCGAGAGCCUGAACCAGCCAAGUCGCGUGAAGGAAGACGGCCGUUUCGGUUGUAAACUUCUUUUGUUGGGGAGCAAAGUGCGCCACGAGUUGGUGUUUUGCGCGUACCCAAAGAAAAAGCAUCGGCUAACUCCGUGCCAGCAGCCGCGGUAAUACGGAGGAUGCGAGCGUUAUCCGGAUUUAUUGGGUUUAAAGGGUGCGCAGGCGGCGCAUUAAGUCAGCGGUCAAAUGUCGGGGCUCAACCUCGGCCUGCCGUUGAAACUGGUGUGCUAGAGACGGAUCGAGGCAGGCGGAAUGCGAGGUGUAGCGGUGAAAUGCAUAGAUAUCACGCAGAACUCCGAUUGCGAAGGCAGCUUGCCAGAGCCGAUCUGACGCUCAUGCACGAAAGCGUGGGUAUCGAACAGGAUUAGAUACCCUGGUA
rnacentral:rRNA from 1 species